CGACUAGUUCGCAAGGCCUGUAAGUCUUUGUUUCUAAUAUUUAAGUUAGAUAUAUCCAAAAGAAAAGUUAUAAUGUAGAUUUUCAAUAUUUUUUCUUUUGCUGCAAUAGUUAAACAAUGCGUGUUAGUAACCUGGCAGCAUACCAUAACCAAGACGAUCCUGUAAUACGCGAUCAAAGUCAGGUCCAAACACUCGUGUCAUCUCCUCCACUUUCUUGUUUCGAGCUUUCGUCGCAUCUUCAUAUUCUGACAGUGCUUUCAUAUACAUAUCAUGAGCUUUCAAUAACUGCUUCAUUAUCUCAUCAACUCUCUCCUUCAGCGGCCCUAACGAAUGUUCUAAGACCAUCAACUCUUUCUGUAAUGGCUCGUUUCCAAACUUGAGUCUAGCAACCAUGUUUAGUCUCUUGUGGGCCCACGAGAGAUCGAAUCCUAAAGCCUCCAAGUCUUUAAAAUCUUGCCAUAGACCGGUUAUCUGCUCCUGCGCCAGUGUAUCCACGGUUAAUCCCAUAAAACGUUUAAUGGUUGCAUGGAGUUCUUUCAAGUUGCCCAACCAAAACGGUGUCACACGAAUCUGGACCCGUUGAAAUGUGUUGGGGUAGCGGUGCUCUACAGCCUCAAAUAGCUCCUUUGCCUCUCGUCCCACAACAUUCCCUCGCCAUAUUUCUACAGUUCCAUGAGGUUCCUCACAUGUCUUCUUCUCAGGCAUCUCCGUUUGCAUCAACACAUAAGGAUCUUCGGUCUUUAGUGUCAGUGACCCAUCAAGACACGCGGAGCUUCUUUUGUAAGACGUCUCUCCCCUUUUACUAAAACUUUUGAUGGGAUCAAAUUGAGAUUCUUCUGUUUUAACAGAGGCCAACUUUCUUUGCUCUUGAGAAGAUGAUCUUGAAAGCUCGUUAGUGGAUCGAUUAUCAUCUUUGUUGUCCAUUGUUGGUUGUGUGAUGGCUGGGGCUUCUGUAAAUCGCUUCUUCUUGCUGGCUUCCUUGGAAGUAUGAUUGUCUACAGGCAGUAUAAAAGCGAAUAAAAUGGUGAAAAACAACGAUUACUUAGAAAAUACCAGCGGCUCGGCUGGAGGUAGGAAAGCAAGCUUGAAGAGCACACUCGAGUAACGAGGGGAAAUCAGGAGAACAGUGUUGAAUAGACGGCCAUUAUUUUCAAUUUGGGGGGAGGUUGUGCCAAUAAUGGCUGGAAGUUAA
rnacentral:lncRNA from 1 species